rnacentral:rRNA from 1 species
UACGGGGGGGGUAAGCGUUGUUCGGAAUUACUGGGCGUAAAGGGCUCGUAGGCGGCCAACUAAGUCGGACGUGAAAUCCCUCAGCUUAACUGGGGAACUGCGUCCGAUACUGGAUGGCUUGGAUUUGGGAGAGGGAUGCGGAAUUCCAGGUGUAGCGGCGAAAUGCGUAGAUAUCUGGAGGAACACCGGUGGCGAAGGCGGCAUCCUGGACCAACAUUGACGCUGAGGAGCGAAAGCUAGGGGAGCAAACGGG